GACGAACGCUGGCGGCGUGCUUAACACAUGCAAGUCGAACGGUAAAGCGCUAUCCUUUUUGGUGGGUGUGGAUGAGUGGCCAACGGGUGAGUAACACGUGAGUAACCUGCCCCCUUCUUCUGGAUAACCGCAUGAAAGUUUGGCUAAUACGGGAUAUGCUGUGUCUGUCGCAUCAUGGGUCUUGGAGAGAUAUUGUUUCGGUAGGGGAUGGUCUCGCGUCGUAUUAGCUUGUUGGUGGGGUGAUGGCAUACCAAGGCGGCGGUGCGUAGCCGGCCUGAGCGGAGGAUCGGCCACACUGGAAGUGAGACACGGUCCAGAAGCCUACGGGAGGCAGCAGUAGGGAAUAUUAGUCAAUGGGCGCAAGCAUGAUCCUGCCAUGCCGCGUGGGGGGGGAAGGACGUCGGGUGGUAGAGACCCUUUUUUGGGAGAGAAGCACGGCAGCCUAGUUUGUCGGUGGGUUGACGGUAGCUAGAGAAUAAGCACCGGCUAACUACGUG
rnacentral:rRNA from 1 species